rnacentral:rRNA from 1 species
AACGAACGCUGGCGGUAUGCUUAACACAUGCAAGUCGAACGAACAAAAUUGGGGCUUGCUCCAAUUUUAGUGAGUGGCAAACGGGUGAGUAACACGUGGGAAUCUACCUAUCAGUACGGAAUAACAUUUGGAAACAGAUGCUAAUACCGUAUAUUCUCCAAGGAGGAAAGAUUUAUCGCUGAUAGAUGAGACAGCGCAAGAUUAGGUAGUUGGUAGGGUAAUGGCCUACCAAGCCUACGAUCUUUAGCUGGUCUGAGAGGAUGAUCAGCCACACUGGGACUGAGACACGGCCCAGACUCCUACGGGAGGCAGCAGUGGGGAAUAUUGGACAAUGGGCGAAAGCCUGAUCCAGCAAUACCGCGUGAAUGAUGAAGGCCUUAGGGUUGUAAAGUUCUUUUAGUUGGAAAGAUAAUGACGGUACCAACAGAAAAAGCCCCGGCUAACUCCGUGCCAGCCGCCGCGGUAA